AGCAGAUGCACUGUAUGUUUUCAAAUUACUUGAUGGAACCUUGAAGCGUUAUAUGCGAAGACACACGAGGAAGACAACAUCUUGUGCUUGUGUGCAAAGGUGAUGUAGAUGCGGUCCAACGUUCCGGAGCCUACUCUGUCUCCGGUUGUUACAUCUACCUUGUACUCGGCCAUGGUCACUCAGCGUUCUCAAAACUUCAAGUGUCUUCACUGAAGCCACAGCGCAGUGGAAGAGAAACCACUGACUGGGGAGUACAAAACCUGAAGAAAUGUUCCCCAGAAAUCCAUAGUUGAAGAUCUCCUCCACCCAUUCCUGGAGUUCAGAAUCUGCCAACACCUCGCUGUCCGAUGGGUAAUAAUACGACACUACUGCCUUGACAAAGCUGCAGGUGGGAGAGAAUUACAGCACACCUUUACCCCCCCACACUCUAAAACAGCCGGUUUUGGGUGCUCAUGCAAAUGACUGAGGUCCUUUGUGCUUCAUGCUGGGUUGUACAGAAGCUCAUGUGAUGACUAGGUUAUUAGUGUUAGUUGUGAGAUCAUUUCAACCUGCAAUAAAUGCCUCUUCUAACGCCAACACCUAGUGGCCGAUAUAGAAGGAGUGACUGAGGUGAUCUGUGUAUCCAACACUAAGCGUUGAAACUCCAGGCUGCUGCAUAACCAGCAGAUACCUGUGAAUGAUGUUCCACAGCCUGAGAGCGUCAUCUCUGUAAUAAAAAUUAGGAACAGCCUCCAGGCCUCUGGCAGCAAUGUCUUUGUGAGGGCAUAGUGAAUGGUAGGUCAGCUGGGCCAGUGCCCUUCUCAUUAGCUGCACUUGUCCUUCUGCGGAAAGAGCACUCUAACGACAACAUUCAAUUAGUGAGGAGAAAAAAAUAGAUAAACACUAAAGCGUUUCAUACAUUAUCAAGAGCUCUCCCAGGACCGUAAAGACUAGCACGGGCGAUUGUGUUAGC